rfam:Stenotrophomonas maltophilia SKK35, WGS project CALN01000000 data, contig: 675
CUUCAUGGCGGGCGGUGCGUGGGGGUUUUCGGACCCGCCGGUUACUGCGUGAUGUCUCCGGGCUCGCAGCCAUGCACCGUCCGCCACCCGU